UACAGAGGGUGCGAGCGUUAAUCGGAAUUACUGGGCGUAAAGCGCACGUAGGUGGCUUUGUAAGUCGGAUGUGAAAUCCCCAGGCUUAACCUGGGAACUGCAUUCGAAACUGCAUUGCUAGAGUAUGGGAGAGGGCAGUGGAAUUUCAGGUGUAGCGGUGAAAUGCGUAGAUAUCUGAAGGAACAUCAGUGGCGAAAGCGACUGCCUGGACCAAUACUGACGCUCAUGUGCGAAAGCGUGGGGAGCAAACAGG
rnacentral:rRNA from 1 species